CUUUUGCAUAUUUCAAUAGCUGAGGAAAAGAAACCAACAGGGAUUGCCUCAGUAACGGCGAGUGAAGCGGCAAAAGCUCAAAUUUGAAAUCCCCCCGGGGAGUUGUAAUUUGAAGAUUGCGUCUUGGAGGCGACCGUGUCUAUGUUCCUUGGAACAGGACGUCACAGAGGGUGAGAAUCCCGUGCGGCACGGCCCCCGGCUCCUUAUAAGGCGCUCUCGACGAGUCGAGUUGUUUGGGAAUGCAGCUCAAAGUGGGUGGUAAAUUCCAUCUAAAGCUAAAUACAGGCGAGAGACCGAUAGCGAACAAGUACAGUGAUGGAAAGAUGAAAAGCACUUUGAAAAGAGAGUGAAACAGCACGUGAAAUUGUUGAAAGGGAAGGGCAUGCCGUCAGAUUGUCAGUGUGGGUAAGAAGCGGGGUACAAAGACUGUGGAACGUGGCCCUCGGGUGUUAUAGCCGCAGUUCAUGCCCCGUCUCUUUCCGAGGCCUGCUUUGAGGACACCGACGUAAUGACGGUACGCCGCCCGUCUUGAACAACCGGACCAAAAAGGA
rnacentral:rRNA from 1 species